CCUACGGGAGGCAGCAGUGAGGAAUAUUGGUCAAUGGACGAGAGUCUGAACCAGCCAAGUAGCGUGAAGGAUGACUGCCCUAUGGGUUGUAAACUUCUUUUAUAAAGGAAUAAAACGAGGCACGUGUGCCUUUUUGCAAGUACUUUAUGAAUAAGGAUCGGCUAACUCCGUGCCAGCAGCCGCGGUAAUACGGAGGAUCCGAGCGUUAUCCGGAUGUAUUGGGUUUAAAGGGAGCGUAGAUGGGUUGUUAAGUCAGUUGUGAAAGUUUGCGGCUCAACCGUAAAAUUGCAAUUGAUACUGGCAGUCUUGAGUACAGUUGAGGUAGGCGGAAUUCGAGGUGUAGCGGUGAAAUGCUUAGAGAUCACGAAGAACCCCGAUUGCGAAGGCAGCUUACUAAACUGUGACUGACAUUGAGGUGCGAAAGUGUGGGUAUCAAACAGGAUUAGAUACCCUUGUAGUC
rnacentral:rRNA from 1 species